rnacentral:rRNA from 1 species
UCCGUAGGUGGCAAGCGUUGUCCGGAUUUACUGGGCGUAAAGAGCGCGCAGGCGGUCGAUUUAGUCGCGUGUGAAAGCCCCCGGCUCAACUGGGGAGGGUCACGCGAUACUGCUCGACUCGAAGGCAGGAGAGGGUAGUGGAAUUCCCGGUGUAGUGGUGAAAUGCGUAGAUAUCGGGAGGAACACCAGUGGCGAAGGCGACUACCUGGACUGUUCUUGACGCUGAGGCGCGAAAGCUAGGGGAGCAAACGGG